rnacentral:rRNA from 1 species
UAUCUCUGUAGAGUCUGCAUAUCAAUAAGCGGAGGAAAAGAAACUAACAAGGAUUCCCUUAGUAACGGCGAGUGAAGCGGGAAGAGCUCAAAUUUGAAAUCUUCAAGGUUCUACCUUGACGAAUUGUAGUUUAAAGAAGUGUUUUCUGUUAGAUGAGUAGCAAAAGUUCCUUGGAAUGGGACAUCAUAGAGGGUGAGAAUCCCGUAUUUGGUUAUUCAUUCUAGCUUGUGAUACACUUUCAAAGAGUCGGAUUGUUUGGGAAUGCAGUCCAAAAUGGGUGGUAAAUUUCAUCUAAAGCUAAAUAUUGGCGAGAGACCGAUAGCGAACAAGUACCGUGAGGGAAAGAUGAAAAGAACUUUGAAAAGAGAGUUAAACAGUACGUGAAAUUGUCAAAAGGGAAGCGUUUGACACCAGUGUUGUUUUUCCGAAAAUCAAUUAAAAUGGCUUGAUUUUGUGUUGUAUUGACCUUAAAAGCUUUCUUCACUUUUUUCAUGUCUUUUUUAAUGCACUUUUCGUUUAACAAGUCAACAUCAGUUUCUUUUGUUGUAAAAAGGUCAUUGGAAGGUGGCUUUCUUUUCGGAGAAAGUGUUUAUAGCCUUUGACUUCUGCAAUCGGAGAGACUGAGGUCUGCAGCGUAGAUCCUUCUGGAUUAGAUUCAUUUGUGCUAAGUUACAACCGUUUAUAGACAACUUGUUGACUAUAUUCGAUCCUGUAGCUUACUCGCUUAUGUAAUUUUACCUACGCUUAGGAUGUUGACGAGACUGUCGAUCUC